UACGUAGGGUGCGAGCGUUAAUCGGAAUUACUGGGCGUAAAGCGUGCGCAGGCGGUUUUGUAAGUCAGAUGUGAAAUCCCCCGGGCUCAACCUGGGAACUGCGUUUGAAACUACAAGGCUAGAGUGUAGCAGAGGGGGGUAGAAUUCCACGUGUAGCAGUGAAAUGCGUAGAGAUGUGGAGGAAUACCAAUGGCGAAGGCAGCCCCCCUGGGUUAACACUGACGCUCAUGCACGAAAGCGUGGGGAGCAAACAGGA
rnacentral:rRNA from 1 species